rnacentral:lncRNA from 1 species
UUCAUUUGAGGUCACAAUCUGCCUGCGAAAGAAGCAUACAUUUUUUGUUAAUGUCCUUUUUUUCUGUUGAACUAAUAGGAGAAAUAGAGGUAAUAUCAAAAUAAAAAAAUAACCUAGUUACAGAAAUCGUUUAAAUUUUACAAUUAUUUAGUUUAUGUACAGCUUAUUUGAAAAUAAUAAUAAACAAGAAUGUGUCCUCAGUACACGAAUGCCCCACUCGCACUAUCAUUUUCUAUGUUCAGUGGACCGUGAAAUUGGGGUAAAAUCUCUAAUUUGGCAUUAAAAUUAGAGAGAUCAUAUCAUAGGGAACAUGUGUACCAAGUUUGAAGUCGAUUGGACUUCAACUUCAUCAAAAACUACCUUGACCAAAAACUUUAACCUGAAGCGGGACAGACGGACGAACGGACGAACGAACGGACGGACGGACGCACAGACCAGAAAAAACUUCAUCAAAAACUACCUCGACCAAAAACUUUAACCUGAAGCGGGACAGACGGACGGACGAACGAACGAACGGAUGGACGGACGCACAGACCAGAAAACAUAAUGCCCCUCUACUA